rnacentral:rRNA from 1 species
UAGGGAAUCUUCGGCAAUGGACGAAAGUCUGACCGAGCAACGCCGCGUGAGUGAAGAAGGUUUUCGGAUCGUAAAACUCUGUUGUUAGAGACGAACAAGGACGUUAGUAACUGAACGUCCCCUGACGGUAUCUAACCAGAAAGCCACGGCUAACUACGUGCCAGCAGCCGCGGUAAUACGUAGGUGGCAAGCGUUGUCCGGAUUUAUUGGGCGUAAAGCGAGCGCAGGCGGUUUCUUAAGUCUGAUGUGAAAGCCCCCGGCUCAACCGGGGAGGGUCAGUGGAAACUGGGAGACUUGAGUGCAGAAGAGGAGAGUGGAAUUCCAUGUGUAGCGGUGAAAUGCGUAGAUAUAUGGAGGAACACCAGUGGCGAAGGCGGCUCUCUGGUCUGUAACUGACGCUGAGGCUCGAAAGCGUGGGGAGCAAACAGG